rnacentral:rRNA from 1 species
UAAGAGUUUAUGGUGGAUGCCUUGGGUCUAGAAGUCGAUGAAGGACGUGAUAACCUGCGAUAAGCCUCGUGGAGCAGGACAUAUGCUAUGAUACGGGGAUUUCCGAAUGGGGGAACCUAGCUAGAUUAAAACCUAGUUAUUUUAUAGUGAAUACAUAGCUAUAAAAAGAGAGACGCUGUGAAUUGAAACAUCUUAGUAACAGUAGGAAGAGAAAAUAAAUAAUGAUUCUGUUAGUAGCGGCGAGCGAACGCGGAAGAGCCCAAACCAGCUUUGCUGGGGUUGUAGGACAGCUUAUAUAGAGUUACAAAGUUAAUGUAUAGAAGAACAAGUUGGGAAGCUUGGUCAUAGAAGGUGAUAACCCUGUAUUCAAAAUGCAUUAAUCUCUUAGCUGUAUCCUGAGUAGGGCGGGGCACGUGAAACCCUGUUUGAAUCUGCCGGGACCACCCGGUAAGGCUAAAUACUAACUAGACACCGAUAGUGAACAAGUACCGUGAGGGAAAGGUGAAAAGAACCCCGGGAGGGGAGUGAAAUAGAUUCUGAAACCAUUUACUUACAAGUAGUUAGAGCCCGUUAAUGGGUGAUAGCGCACAUCUUGCAGUAUGGACCGGCGAGUUACGUUAGCAUGCAAGGUUAAGUGGAAAAAAGCGGAGCCGAAGAGAAAUCGAGUCUUAAUAGGGCGAAUUAGUAUGUUGUUGUAGACCCGAAACCAGGUGAUCUAUCCAUGAGCAGGGUGAAGUCAAGGUAAUACUUGAUGGAGGCCCGAACCAGUAGACGUUGUAAAGUCUUUGGAUGACUUGUGGAUAGCGGUGAAAUUCCAAACGAACCUGGAUAUAGCUGGUUCUCCCCGAAAUAGCUUUAGGGCUAGCGUCUCGAUUGAGCGCAACGAGGGUAGAGCACUAAUUAUACGAUGGCCCCAUCUAGGGGUACUGAUUAUAGAUAAACUCCGAAUAUCGUUGUUGCAUGCGAGGCAGUCAGUGUAUGGGUGAUAACGUCCAUACGCGCGAGGGAAACAACCCAGACCAUCAGCUAAGGUCCCAAAAUUUAUGUUAAGUGGGAAAGGAUGUGAAGUUCCAAAAACAGCUAGUAUGUUGGCUUAGAAGCAGCCAUCAUUUAAAGAGUGCGUAACAGCUCACUAGUCGAGGGAUUUCGCGCCGAAAAUUUAACGGGGCUAAAACAUAAUACCGAAGCUAUGGAUUUAGAACAUAUUUUUAUAUGUUCCAAGUGGUAGGGGAGCGUUCCAUACUGGGAUGAAGCUAGAUCGUGAGGACUAGUGGACUGUAUGGAAGUGAGAAUGCCGGCGUGAGUAUCGAUUGAAGGUGAGAAUCCUUCACGCCGAUUGAGCAAGGUUUCCUGGGGAAGGUUCGUCCACCCAGGGUUAGUCGGGACCUAAGGCCAGGCCGAAAGGCGUAGUCGAUGGACAACUGGUUGAUAUUCCAGUACCGACGUAUAGAGGGAUGGAAUGACGGAGAAGGCUAAGAAAAGCAUGCGAUCGAAAGUGCAUGUCGAAGCAGAUGAGGUGUCAGUGUAGGAAAAUCCGCACUGUUUAACAUUGAGCUGUGAUAGGGAGCGAACCCUUAGGGUAGUAGCGAAGUUUCUGAUGUCACGCUUCCAAGAAAAGUUUCUACUGUUAAUCUAUACGUUGCCCGUACCCAUAACCAACACUGGUGCUCAAGGAGAAUAUCCUAAGGCGAGCGAGAUAAUUGAGGCUAAGGAACUCGGCAAAAUGACCCCGUACGUUCGCAAUAAGGGGUGCUAGUAUAUGCUUGCAUAUAUCUAGCCGCAGAAAAGAGGUCCAGCCAACUGUUUAUCAAAAACACAGCUCUCUGCUAAAGUGUAAACUGAAGUAUAGGGGGUGACGCCUGCCCGGUGCUCGAAGGUUAAAGGAAUCUGUUAGCGCAAGCGAAGCAGUGCACUGAAGCCCGAGUGAACGGCGGCUGUAACUAUAACGGUCCUAAGGUAGCGAAAUUCAUUGUCAGGUAAGUUCUGACCCGCACGAAUGGUGUAAUGAUCUGGACGCUGUCUCGGCCUCAAGCUCGGUGAAAUCUUAGUACCUGUGAAAAUGCAGGUUAGACGCAGUAAGACAAUAAGACCCCGUGAAGCUUUACUAUAACUUCAUAUUGGGUUUUGAUACAACAUGUACAGGAUAGGUAGGAGACUUUGAAGCGCAGACGCUAGUUUGUGUGGAGUCAUUCUUGGGAUACUACUCUUGUUGUAUUGGAACUCUAACUCGCAGCCCUAAUCUGGCUGGAGGACAGUGUGUGGUGGGUAGUUUGACUGGGGCGGUCGCCUCCUAAAAGGUAACGGAGGCGUGCAAAGUUACACUCAACAUGGUCGGAAAUCAUGUGUAGAGCGC